CUUCGGUACAUCGGUGACAGGUGGUGGCAUGGUUGUCGUCAGCUCGUGUCGUGAGAUGUUGGUUAAGUCCCGCAACGAGCGCAACCCCUAUUGUUAGUUGCCAUCAUUCAGUUGGGCACUCUAGCGAGACUGCCGGUAAUAAACCGGAGGAAGGUGGGGAUGACGUCAAAUCAUCAUGCCCCUUAUGACCUGGGCUACACACGUGCUACAAUGGUUGGUACAACGAGUUGCGAGUCGGUGACGGCGAGCUAAUCUCUUAAAGCCAAUCUCAGUUCGGAUUGUAGGCUGCAACUCGCCUACAUGAAGUCGGAAUCGCUAGUAAUCGCGGAUCAGCACGCCGCGGUGAAUACGUUCCCGGGCCUU
rnacentral:rRNA from 1 species